rnacentral:rRNA from 1 species
UACAGAGGAUGCAGGCGUCAUCCGGAAUCACUGGGCGUAAAGCGUGCGUAGGCGGUUCGUUAAGUCUGCUGUGAAAGCCCUGGGCUCAACCUGGGAACUGCAGUGGAUACUGGCGAACUAGAGUGUGAUAGAGGAUGGUGGAAUUCCCGGUGUAGCGGUGAAAUGCGUAGAGAUCGGGAGGAACACCAGUGGCGAAGGCGGCCAUCUGGAUCAACACUGACGCUGAGGCACGAAAGCGUGGGGAGCAAACAGG